GCCGGUGUGGUGGAAUUGGCAGACGCGCCGGACUCAAAAUCCGGUGGGCUAAUAACCCGUAUCGGUUCGACUCCGAUCACCGGCACCA
rnacentral:tRNA from 1 species